AACGAACGCUGGCGGCAUGCCUAACACAUGCAAGUCGAACGAGACCUUCGGGACUGGUUGCUCACGGGUGCGUAACGCGGGGGAACCUGCACGUAGGUUCGGAAUAACUCCCCGAAGGGGGUGCUAAUACCGGAUAAUGUCUGCUGACCAAAGAUAUAACGCCCUAGGGUGGGCACGCGUUGGAUUAACUGGUUGGUAGUGUAAGAGCCUACCACGGCGACGAUCCAUAGCUGGUCUGAGAGAAAGAUCCGCCACACUGAGACUGAGACACGGCCCAGACUCCUACGGGAAGCAGCAGUGGGGAAUAUUGGCAUAUGGGCGAAAGCCUGAACCAGCUCUGCCGCGUGAGUGAUGAAGUCCUUAGGGUUGUAAAGCUCUUUUACCCGGGAUGAUAAUGACAGUACCGGGAGAAUAAGCACCGGCUAACUCCGUG
rnacentral:rRNA from 1 species